AAGAUGGUGGCCCCAACUCUGGUGGACCCCAGAACUCUGAGAGAUUCCAGGAAUUAGGCAAAUCAGGAUUAGGUCAGGAAGAAAGGAUUACCUCUCCAUGAAACCUACACAAAUCUCCAUGCCAUGGAAAAGUAAUUAGUAAGUAGAUGAGCUCAUUUAUGAAGUCACCUCUCACGGUGCCUGAUGCACAUUAAGCACGUAAUUGAUGCCUGCUGUUACUAUAACGAUUAUGUAUUUCUGUUGCUGCCACACUAAAAUGAAUAACAACAUACUUUCCCACCUAAAACCCAAAAGAAGAAACCAGUGGGAGGGAUGUCUUCAGCCAGCCCACCAGCAUAGAAAAGGGUCACCUGCCAGUCACCCCAACUCCCAGCGGCCCAAUCCUAGGCUCCUCCAUGAGCCUCUGACCUCUGUUCACCUUCCUAGGCAGCCAGUGUGCUAAGGGCCCAGGUGACUACCACUAGCCACCUAGCAGCCAACUAUCCUUGCUAUUAAUUAACAGACUGAUGCUCUGGUUUUUAUCACCUGAGGGAGCUGAUAAACUCACAUUUCCAGGUCAAAAAGCCAAGUGAUCAGAGCUCAGAGUAGGUAUACAGGCACAGGUAACAAAAAUUAACCAGCAGGCUUUUCCCUAAAGUGGGCCCUGGUAAACACAGGACCCUGCAGUCUCCCUGUGCUUAAGUCAGAGUGAACCAACAUCAGAAAGCCUGGGAUCGUGUAGUCAUGGCCUAGGAAGAAGCCUGGUCGGUAUCCUUUUUCCCAGGGAGAGAGAGCAGCAUUUGCCCAAGUCCUUGGACCUGGGGUCUGGUGCCCUGGGAAUAGAAUAGAGCUGCUUAUGGGGAGACUGUCUCACCUAGCCCACUGAAGGCCUCAUCCUGUCUCCUCUUACAUCAGGUGUGGCAGUGUGGGGGCCAGCUGGAGAUCAUCCCCUGCUCUGUCGUAGGCCAUGUGUUCCGGACCAAGAGCCCCCACACCUUCCCCAAGGGCACUAGUGUCAUUGCUCGCAAUCAAGUGCGCCUGGCAGAGGUCUGGAUGGACAGCUACAAGAAGAUUUUCUAUAGGAGAAAUCUGCAGGCAGCAAAGAUGGCCCAAGAGAAAUCCUUCGGUGACAUUUCGGAACGACUGCAGCUGAGGGAACAACUGCACUGUCACAACUUUUCCUGGUACCUGCACAAUGUCUACCCAGAGAUGUUUGUUCCUGACCUGAUGCCCACCUUCUAUGGUGCCAUCAAGAACCUCGGCACCAACCAAUGCCUGGAUGUGGGUGAGAACAACCGCGGGGGGAAGCCCCUCAUCAUGUACUCCUGCCACGGCCUUGGCGGCAACCAGUACUUUGAGUACACAACUCAGAGGGACCUUCGCCACAACAUCGCAAAGCAGCUGUGUCUACAUGUCAGCAAGGGUGCUCUGGGCCUUGGGAGCUGUCACUUCACUGGCAAGAAUAGCCAGGUCCCCAAGGACGAGGAAUGGGAAUUGGCCCAGGAUCAGCUCAUCAGGAACUCAGGAUCUGGUACCUGCCUGACAUCCCAGGACAAAAAGCCAGCCAUGGCCCCCUGCAACCCCAGUGACCCCCAUCAGUUGUGGCUCUUUGUCUAGGACCCAGAUCAUCCCCAGAGAGAGCCCCCACAAGCUCCUCAGGAAACAGGAUUGCUGAUGUCUGGGAACCUGAUCACCAGCUUCUCUGGAGGCCGUAAAGAUGGAUUUCUAAACCCACUGGGUGGCAAGGCAGGACCUUCCUAAUCCUUGCAACAACAUUGGGCCCAUUUUCUUUCCUUCACACCGAUGGAAGAGACCAUUAGGACAUAUAUUUAGCCUAGCAUUUUCCUGUUCUAGAAAUAGAGGCUUCCAAAGUAGGGAAGGCAGCUGGGGGAGGGUUCAGGGCAGCAAUGCUGAGUUCAAGAAAAGUACUUCAGGCUGGGCACAGUGGCUCAUGCCUGAACUCCUAGCACUUUGGGAAGACAAUGUGGGAGAAUGGCUUGAGCCCAGGAGUUCAAGACUGGCCUGAGCAACAUAGUGAGGAUCCCAUCUCUACGCCCACCCUCCCCCCCGCAAAAAAAAAAAAAGCUGGGUAUGGUGGCUUAUGCCUGUAGUCACAGCUACUCAGAAGGCUGAGGUGGGAGGAUUGCUUGUUCCCCGGAGGUUGAAGCUACAGUGAGCCUUGAUUGUGUCACUGCACUCCAGCCUGGGCAACAGGUGAGACUCUGUCUC
rnacentral:sRNA from 1 species